rnacentral:rRNA from 1 species
AACGUAGGUGGCGAGCGUUAUCCGGAUUUACUGGGCGUAAAGCGCUUGUAGGUGGUUUUGUAAGUUGGGCGUGAAAUCUCCGGGCUUAACUUGGAGAGGCCGUCCAAUACUGCGAGGCUAGAGGUUAUUCGAGGAAAGUGGAAUACCUGGUGUAGUAGUGAAAUGCGUAGAUAUCAGGAGGAACACCGGUGGCGAAGGCGGGUCGUCUGGGCCGGUAACUGACGCUGAGGAGCGAAAGCAUGGGGAGCGAACAGG